UACAGGGGGGGCAAGCGUUGUUCGGAAUUACUGGGCGUAAAGGGCCAGUAGGCGGCCGACUAAGUCCGACGUGAAAUCCCCAGGCUUAACCGAGGAACUGCCCUCCAAACUGCUUCGCUUGAGACCGGGAGAGGUGAGUGGAAUUCCCAGUGUAGCGGUGAAAUGCGUAGAUAUUGGGAGGAACACCAGUGGCGAAGGCGGCUCACUGGACCGGUACUGACGCUGAUGCGCGAAAGCGUGGGGAGCGAACAGG
rnacentral:rRNA from 1 species